UAUUAUUACAAGUUAUAUCUCAAU
rnacentral:siRNA from 1 species